rnacentral:rRNA from 1 species
CGCGACAGCGUGACGCAGCAACGCCGCGUGGGGGAAGAAGGCCUCGGGUUGUAAACCCCUUCAGGAGGGACGAAGCCCGGGCCGUUAAUAGCGGUCCCGGGUGACGGUACCUCCACAAGAAGCCCCGGCUAACUACGUGCCAGCAGCCGCGGUAAUACGUAGGGGGCAAGCGUUGUCCGGAAUCAUUGGGCGUAAAGAGCGUGUAGGCGGUCCGGUCAGUCGGUUGUGAAAGUCAAGGGCUCAACCCUUGAAUGCCGGCCGAUACUGCCGGGCUAGAGUCCGGAAGAGGUGAGUGGAAUUCCUGGUGUAGCGGUGAAAUGCGCAGAUAUCAGGAGGAACACCGAUGGCGAAGGCAGCUCACUGGGACGGUACUGACGCUGAGACGCGAAAGCGUGGGGAGCAAACAGGAUUAGAUACCCUGGUAGUCCACGCCGUAAACGAUGGGCACUAGGUGUGGGAGGUGUCGACUCCUCCCGUGCCGAAGCUAACGCAUUAAGUGCCCCGCCUGGGGAGUACGGCCACAAGGCUA